rnacentral:tRNA from 1 species
ACUGCCUUAGCUCAGUUGGUAGAGCGCCAGAGUACAAAUCCGGAGGCCGAGGGUUCAAAUCCCGCCGGUAGUC